CAGAAUAUAGUUUAUAAAAAUAAUAAUUUUGGAGAUUAUAGAAAAAGAUUUAACUUUUAUUCUGA
rnacentral:tRNA from 1 species